GGGUUCUAAUAGGAAAUCGCAAAGAAAUUUUACAUAAAUCAUCGGUUGAUUUACCAAAAAA
rnacentral:tRNA from 1 species